UACGGGGGAGCAAACGUUGUUCGGAAUCACUGGGCGUAAAGGGCGUGUAGGCGGCUUGGAUAAGGUGGGAAUCGUUAAAUCCCCCGGACUCAACCGGGGACCUGCCAUUCUCAUACUGUUCAGCUCGAGCACAUCGAGAGGAGACUGGAAUUCCCGGUGUAGCGGUAGAAAUGCGUAGAUAGUCGGGAAGGAACACCUAUGGCGAAAGCACCU
rnacentral:rRNA from 1 species